AGGUCCAUUCUAAUUCCCUGCAGGUCAGUGCCAGUACCUGCUGGGUUUCGCUUGUGGACCACAUUAAACUGGAGAACUUAAGCAUGCAUGAGCUGACUGGUAGUCUGCUCAUGAUGUAGUCUUCUGGACAUGU
ensembl:snoRNA small nucleolar RNA, H/ACA box 52